rnacentral:rRNA from 1 species
GGGAUUGCCUCAGUAACGGCGAGCGAAGCGGCAAGUGCUCAGAUUUGAAAUCUGGUCCCUCUGGGGCCCGAGUUGUAAUCUGUAGGGGAUGCUUCGGAGUUGAACCCGGCCUAAGUUCCUUGGAACAGGACGUCGCAGAGGGUGAGAAUCCCGUACGCGGCCGGUGGGCGUCUCCGUGCGAAGCUCCUCCGACGAGUCGAGUUGUUUGGGAAUGCAGCUCUAAAUGGGAGGUAAAUUUCUUCUAAAGCUAAAUACCGGCCAGAGACCGAUAGCGCACAAGUAGAGUGAUCGAAAGAUGAAAAGCACUUUGGAAAGAGAGUUAAAAAGUACGUGAAAUUGUUGAAAGGGAAGCGCUUGCAACCAGACUCGGCCGCUUCGGUUCCACCCUACCCGCGUAGGGCUCACUCCGUUGCGGUCGGGCCAGCAUCGGUUCGGGCGGUCGUUUAAAGACGUGGGGAAUGUAGCUCCUCUCGGGGAGUGUUAUAGCCCCGCGUGCAAUGCGACCCGCCUGGACCGAGGACCGCGCUCUGGCAAGGAUGCUGGCUUAAUGGUUGUAAGCGGCCCGUCUUGAAACACGGACCAAGGAGUCUAACAUCUAUGCGAGUGUUCGGGUGUCAAACCCCUACGCGCAAUGAAAGUGAACGGAGGUCGGAGCCCUCGGGCGCACGAUCGACCGAUCCUGAUGUCUUCGGAUGGAUUUGAGUAAGAGCAUAAAUGUUGGGACCCGAAAGAUGUGCGAACUAUGCUUGAGUAGGCCGAAGCCAGCGGAAACGCUGGUGGAGGGUCGCAGCGGUUCUGACGUGCAAAUCGAUCGUCAAACUUGAGUAUAGGGGCGAAAGACUAAUCGAGCCAUCUAGUAGCUGGUUCCUGCCGAAGUUCC